AUGCAAGUGCAGGCGGCCGCUACCAUACGGCUUUGUCUUGCGGACCAGGUCAUGUAUCAUGUCAUGGACGAAAAUACUCCUAAGGGAAUUUGGGACAAGUUGGCAAAUCGUUAUAUGUCCAAGUCAGCGACCAAUAAGUUGUAUUUGAAGCAAAAGUUCUAUGGGCUGAAGAUGCAGGAGGGGUCGGAUCUUGUGGAGCAUGUGAACACCUUUAAUCAAUUGGUCACGGAUCUAGCGCGUCUGGAUGUGAAGAUUGAGGAUGAGGAUAAGGCACUACUUCUUCUUGUUUCAUUGCCACCGUCCUAUGAGCAUUUGGUCAUUACAUUGACACAUGGAAAGACAACCAUCAAUAAUGAGGAAGUUACUGGAGCGUUACUCGGACAUGAGUUGAUGAAGCAAAAGAAUGCUGCAGAAAGGGAGAGUACUCAAGGUUUGGGGUUGGCAGUUAAAGGUUAUCAGCUCAGGAAGGGACAAGAGGCGGAGUAG
rnacentral:rRNA from 1 species